UUUAAAGUGUCAGUUGAUGAGGCUCGAUAAAGUUACAUAUGCAAUUGAGAAACCGAUGUCGACUUACCAUGAGUGACAAACGAACCGAAGUUUCUGCCUACGAUACAAUGCCAGGUAGGUGAAAACUUUUUGUCAAAUUCUCGUUUGAUAAAUGCGGCAAUAUCCUUUAUCUCUAUGUUAGUACUAGAAAAAAGACAGAGGUGGACGAGACCUCAUUUUUUAAUAAAACUAACGUACUUUCUCAAUCGUGAAUUUUUCCAUUGCUUGAACAGCUAAAACGUCUUAGAAACAAAUAAUUUAAUGUUUAAAAAAAUCUACCUGCGUGAAUAGCUUCUUGCUGCAUCUUCUCUGACUAUAAUAAUCGAUUAGUUUCGAGAUCCAUAAUAAAACCAGCUUUCUUACCAUAUCGACAGCCUUGAUGACUGCCAUCAAUCUUUCCUCAUUCUUAGUACGACUAGAGGAUAAUUUUUCGACAUCCUCUUGCUCAGUAGCAGGGUUCCUCAACAUUGUGAAAGUUAAAUUUUGCAAACACGUGUGUCCUGUUUAAAAUGGUAAGGAGCUAGCGGUGUCGGAAUUUCCUUAAAUUGAAUGACUAAUAAUUAGAUCAGUAAAAAGGUUCCUUAAUAAAACUCAUCUUUCUAAUCUAUAGGUACUUCGGGUUUUUGUGAAAGGGCAUUAUUAUUAGCUAGCGAAACUGAUUCCA